GACGAACGCUGGCGGCGUGCCUAAUACAUGCAAGUAGAACGCUGAAGGAGGAGCUUGCUUCUCUGGAUGAGUUGCGAACGGGUGAGUAACGCGUAGGUAACCUGCCUGGUAGCGGGGGAUAACUAUUGGAAACGAUAGCUAAUACCGCAUAAUAUUGACUAUUGCAUGAUAGUCAGUUGAAAGGUGCAACUGCACCACUACCAGAUGGACCUGCGUUGUAUUAGCUAGUUGGUGGGGUAACGGCUCACUAAGGCGACGAUACAUAGCCGACCUGAGAGGGUGAGCGGCCACCCUGGGACUGUGACACGGCCCAGACUGCUACAGGAGGCAGCAGUAGGGAAUCUGCGGCAAUGGACGGAAGUCUGACCGAGCAACGCCGAGUGAGUGAAGAAGGUUGUCGGAUCGGAAAGCUCUGUUGUAAGAGAAGAACGAGUGUGAGAGUGGAAAGCUCACACUGUGACGGUAUCUUACCAGAAAGGGACGGCUAACUACGUG
rnacentral:rRNA from 1 species